rnacentral:rRNA from 1 species
ACUAGCAGUAAGAGUUUGAUCCUGGCUCAGAUUGAACGCUGGCGGCAUGCCUAACACAUGCAAGUCGCACGCGAAAGGGGGCAACCCCGAGUAGAGUGGCGGACGGGUGCGUAAUACGUAGGAAUCUACCUAGUAGUGGGGGACAACCCGGCGAAAGCCGGGCUAAUACCGCAUACGACCUAUGGGUGAAAGCCGGGGACCGCAAGGCCUGGCGCUAUUAGAUGAGCCUGCGUCGGAUUAGCUAGUUGGUGGGGUAAAGGCUCACCAAGGCGACGAUCCGUAGCUGGUCUGAGAGGACGACCAGCCACACUGGGACUGAGACACGGCCCAGACUCCUACGGGAGGCAGCAGUGGGGAAUAUUGCGCAAUGGGCGAAAGCCUGACGCAGCGACGCCGCGUGUGGGAUGACGGCCUUCGGGUUGUAAACCACUGUCGGGAGGGACGAAGAUCUGACGGUACCUCCAAAGGAAGCACCGGCUAACUCUGUGCCAGCCGCCGCGGUAAUAC